AUGUGGCCAUAAAGUGGUCCAACGUGUAUGAAGACAACGGGGAAGACGCACCAAAGCCUUACACCGGCAAUGCCCAGUUCCUGCCGGCGGAGGAGCAACCGUCUGACUCAGAUGAAGAUUCAGACAAGCCGUCUCUGUCUGCCAAGAAACGUCGAGUAGAGACUUUCCAGCAGAAGGAGAAAAGGAAAAGGGACUUGGGGCAAGCUACCUCCGACAAGAACUUUGUUGAGGAGGAAAAAAGGAUCCUCAGGCAAAAGAUUGAGUGAGACACAAACUGCUUGACACAAGGAAAAAUAGGAACUUUUAACGGCAUUAGCAUGACAUUCAAGCAGGUUGUAUGCUGUAAACAUACACAACUGUUUUACAUAGUCAGGCGUGAUGAUAUAUUUUAUUAUUAUAGUAUUUCUUUUGUUUCCAAAUGACUGUCAAUGACUUCAAAGUAUUUUUAAACUUAGUAAUACAGUCUGACAGAUGUGUCUAUGUCUUAACAUUAAGGGUAAAUGAUACCAUUUACAACGUGAUACGUGCACUGAAGACAGCAUUACCAAAACAGACAGGUCUGGUCCCGACUUGCUGUCACUUUGGUUUCACUUCCACUAGUGUAGUUUGGACAACAGAGCAACAGAGAACAUGUUAAUUGUGUCUAAUUUAUUAUUCAUGGACCUUUAGUGAUCGUUGUCAGACAUAGCAGAUGUCGUUAAACGAGGAGCUGCUGGUCGUCCUGGUGACACAAUAAAGUAAAAGGUGGCGCUGA